rnacentral:rRNA from 1 species
CGAGGAAGUGGGGAUGACGUCAAGUCCUCAUGGCCCUUAUGGGUAGGGCUUCACACGUCAUACAAUGGUCGGUACAGAGGGUUGCCAAGCCGCGAGGCGGAGCCAAUCCCACAAAGCCGAUCGUAGUCCGGAUUGUUCUCUGCAACUCGAGAGCAUGAAGUCGGAAUCGCUAGUAAUCGCAGGUCAGCAUACUGCGGUGAAUACGUUCCCGGGUCUU